rnacentral:lncRNA from 1 species
UUUUCACAAAGAAAACGCGUGGGGUCAUAGAUAACGUGGACGGCUGGAACACAGAGGCCAGCAAGAAAACGGAUGGUGCUAAAAAAUAAUUUGAUUUUUAUUAACGUUAGCGGACACUUGUCCUGAUUUUAUUUCCCUAAAUUGGUAACCGUUACCAAUAACUAGUCUCCAUGUCAAACACUCAACGUAGUUAAAACGGCAUGUCGGUGUGGGAUUGGGUUGCGGGCCUUCGAUUUGGUAAGCUGGGCCUGCAUACUUGGAUCUCAUCUCCCUGCAUUAUUAUUAUUAUUAUGAGUGCUAUAAAUGACAUGCUAAACUAAUGGAAAAUUACAUACGUUUAAACGAGUAAAAU